rnacentral:rRNA from 1 species
CCUACGGGAGGCAGCAGUGAGGAAUAUUGGUCAAUGGCCGGAAGGCUGAACCAGCCAUGCCGCGUGAAGGUCAGUGCCCUAUGGGCGUUAAACUUCUUUUGUGCGGGAGCAAUAAUGGUCACGUGUGGCCAGACGAGAGUACCGUACGAAUAAGCAUCGGCUAACUCCGUGCCAGCAGCCGCGGUAAGACGGGGGAUGCAAGCGUUAUCCGGAUUUAUUGGGUUUAAAGGGUGCGUAGGCUGUUAGGUAAGUCAGCGGUGAAAUGCCCCCGCUCAACGGGGUGAAGUGCCAUUUAUACUGCCUUGCUUGAAUGCGGAUGCCGUGGGAGGAAUGUGUGGUGUAGCGGUGAAAUGCAUAGAUAUCACACAGAACACCGAUUGCGAAGGCAUCUCACGAAUCCGCGAUUGACGCUGAUGCACGAAAGCGUGGGUAUCAAACAGGAUUAGAUACCCUUGUAGUC